rnacentral:rRNA from 1 species
GACGAACGCUGGCGGCGUGCCUAAUACAUGCAAGUAGAACGCUGAAGGAGGAGCUUGCUUCUCUGGAUGAGUUGCGAACGGGUGAGUAACGCGUAGGUAACCUGCCUGGUAGCGGGGGAUAACUAUUGGAAACGAUAGCUAAUACUGCAUAAGAGUAGAUGUUGCAUGACAUUUGCUUAAAAGGUGCAAUUGCAUCACUACCAGAUGGACCUGCGUUGUAUUAGCUAGUUGGUGAGGUAACGGCUCACCAAGGCAACGAUACAUAGCCGACCUGAGAGGGUGAUCGGCCACACUGGGACUGAGACACGGCCCAGACUCCUACGGGAGGCAGCAGUAGGGAAUCUUCGGCAAUGGACGGAAGUCUGACCGAGCAACGCCGCGUGAGUGAAGAAGGUUUUCGGAUCGUAAAGCUCUGUUGUAAGAGAAGAACGAGUGUGAGAGUGGAAAGUUCACACUG